rnacentral:tRNA from 1 species
UAAGAAUUAGGAUAAAAAGUCUGUAUCAUUGUCUAUGAUAAGGUUCUUUGUGGGGGAACUCUUAG